GUAUCAUGGCUCAGGAUGAACGCUAGCUACAGGCUUAACACAUGCAAGUCGAGGGGCGAGCAUGGUCUUAGCUUGCUAAGGCUGAUGGCGACCGGCGCACGGGUGAGUAACACGUAUCCAACCUGCCGUCUACUCUUGGCCAGCCUUCUGAAAGGAAGAUUAAUCCAGGAUGGCAUCAUGAGUUCACAUGUCCGCAUGAUUUAAAGGUAUUUUCCGGUAGACGAUGGGG
rnacentral:rRNA from 1 species